rnacentral:rRNA from 1 species
UGGGGGAUAUUGCACAAUGGGCGAAAGCCUGAUGCAGCGACGCCGCGUGGGGGAUGAAGGCCUUCGGGUUGUAAACUUCCUUUGCUCUGAACAAGGCAUGCCUUCGGGGUGUGUUGAGUGUAGGGGUUGAUUAGCGCCGGCCAACUACGUGCCAGCAGCCGCGGUAAUACGUAGGGCGCGAGCGUUGUCCGGAAUUAUUGGGCGUGAAGGGCUUGUAGGUGGCUGGUUGCGUCUGUCGUGAAAGCCCAUGGCUUAACUGUGGGUUUGCGGUGGGUACGGGCUGGCUUGAGUGCAGUAGGGGAGGCUGGAAUUCCUGGUGUAGCGGUGGAAUGCGCAGAUAUCAGGAGGAAUACCGGUGGCGAAGGCGAGUCUCUGGGCUGUUACUGACGCUGAAGAGCGAAAGCGUGGGGAGCGAACAGG